rnacentral:rRNA from 1 species
UACGUAGGGUGCAAGCGUUGUCCGGAAUUACUGGGCGUAAAGCGUGCGCAGGCGGUUUUGUAAGCCAGGUGUGAAAUCCCCGGGCUCAACCUGGGAAUGGCAUUUGGGACUGCAAGGCUGGAGUGCGGCAGAGGAGACUGGAAUUCCUGGUGUAGCAGUGAAAUGCGUAGAUAUCAGGAGGAAUACCGAUGGCGAAGGCAGGUCUCUGGGCUGACACUGACGCUCAUGCACGAAAGCGUGGGGAGCAAACAGG